rnacentral:rRNA from 1 species
UACGUAGGGACCGAGCGUUGUCCGGAAUCAUUGGGCGUAAAGAGCGUGUAGGCGGCUUGUUAAGUCUUGCGUGAAAAUCUCGGGGGCUCAACCCCCGAGCGGUCGUGAGAAACUGGCAGGCUAGAGUGCGGGAGAGGAGAGUGGAAUUCCUGGUGUAGCGGUGAAAUGCGCAGAUAUCAGGAGGAACACCGGUGGCGAAGGCGGGUCUCUGGGCAGUAACUGACGCUGAGGAGCGAAAGCGUGGGGAGCAAACAGG